UUGAUCCUGGCUCAGGAUGACCUUUAGCGGCAGGCUUAACACAUGCAAGUCGAGGGGCAGCAUGUCCAGCAAUGGAUGAUGGCGACCGGCGGAAGGGUGCGUAACGCGUGAGCAACAUGCCCUAUACAGGGAGAUACACCAGGGAAACUUGGUCUAAUAUCCCAUAGCAUUCAUUGAAGGCAUCUUUAAUGAAUUAAAGCUUCGGUGGUAUAGGAUUGGCUCGCGUGACAUUAGCCAGAUGGUGAGGUAACGGCUCACCAUAGCAAUGAUGUCUAGGGGUUUUGAGAGGAAGGCCCCCCACACUGGGACUGAGACACGGCCCAGACUCCUACGGGAGGCAGCAGUGAGGAAUAUUGGACAAUGGAUGGAAAUCUGAUCCAGCCAUGCCGCGUGCAGGAAGACGGCCUUAUGGGUUGUAAACUGCUUUUAUACGGGAGCAAUAAGGGUUACGAGUAAUCCGAUGAGAGUACUGUAUGAAUAAGGAUCGGCUAACUACGUGCCAGCAGCCGCGGUAACACGUAGGGGGCAAGCGUUGUUCGGAAUUAUUGGGUUUAAAGGGUGCGUAGGCGGGUUAUCAAGUCAGCGGUGAAAUUUUUCGGCUUAACCGUAAAAUUGCCGUUGAAACUGGUGAUCUUGAGUGCGAGCGGGGUAGGCGGAAUGUGCCGUGUAGCGGUGAAAUGCAUAGAUAUGGCACAGAACUCCGAUUGCGAAGGCAGCUUACUAGUACGCUACUGACGCUGAUGCACGAAGGCGUGGGGAUCAAACAGGAUUAGAUACCCUGGUAGUCCACGCAGUAAACGAUGAUUACUAGCUGUUUGCGAUAUACCGUAAGCGGCCGAGCGAAAGCAUUAAGUAAUCCACCUGGGGAGUACGUUCGCAAGAAUGAAACUCAAAGGAAUUGACGGGGGCCCGCACAAGCGGAGGAGCAUGUGGUUUAAUUCGAUGAUACGCGAGGGACCUUACCCGGGCUUGAAAUGCAGAUGACAGGCGGCGAGAACCGUUUUUCCUUCGGGACAUCUGUGUAGGUGCUGCAUGGUUGUCGUCAGCUCGUGCCGUGAGGUGUCGGCUUAAGUGCCAUAACGAGCGCAACCCCUGCUUUCAGUUACCAUCAUUAAGUUGGGGACUCUGGAAGGACCGCUGCGGUAACAACGCAGAGGAAGAUGGGGACGAUGUCAAGUCAUCAUGGUCCUUAUGACCGGGGCUACACACGUGCUACAAUGGCAAUUACAGAAGGAAGCAAAUACGCAAGUAGGAGCAAAACUAAGAAAAAUAGCCCUAGUUCGGAUUGGAGGCUGCAACUCGCCUCCAUGAAGCUGGAAUUGCUAGUAAUCACAAGUCAGCAUACUGUGGUGAAUACGUUCCCGGGCCUUGUACACAGCGCCCGUCA
rnacentral:rRNA from 1 species